rnacentral:rRNA from 1 species
UGGGGAAUUUUGGACAAUGGGCGCAAGCCUGAUCCAGCCAUGCCGCGUGCAGGAUGAAGGCCCUCGGGUUGUAAACUGCUUUUGUACGGAACGAAAAGCCUCUUUCUAAUAAAGAGGGGUGAUGACGGUACCGUAAGAAUAAGCACCGGCUAACUACGUGCCAGCAGCCGCGGUAAUACGUAGGGUGCGAGCGUUAAUCGGAAUUACUGGGCGUAAAGCGUGCGCAGGCGGUCUUGCAAGACAGUGGUGAAAUCCCCGGGCUCAACCUGGGAACUGCCAUUGUGACUGCAAGGCUGGAGUACGGCAGAGGGGGAUGGAAUUCCGCGUGUAGCAGUGAAAUGCGUAGAUAUGCGGAGGAACACCGAUGGCGAAGGCAGUCCCCUGGGCCUGUACUGACGCUCAUGCACGAAAGCGUGGGGAGCAAACA